CCCCCGCUCCUUACAAAGGCGCCGCGGGAGGGGAGCGGCGCGCUGCGGCGCGGCGGGCUCGCAGCCAUGUCCCUGAGGAGGCCUCUGGGCGCCGGCAAGCGGCGCAGCACCGACUCGGGCGUGGAGCCCGACCGCGGGGCGCUCUCCCGGGAGAAGAAGGAGCAGCGCAUCGCGCUCUUCCUCAGCGACUUCGACCAGCGGGCGAAGGAAAACAUCCAGGAAAUGAAGAAAGAACUCGAUUCGCUUUUGCAAACAGCCGAGAAAGCAUUUACAGUGGAGUUACUGAAGAUGCCAAUUGCCAUCAGAAAAAUGAAAAGAAAAGACUUGCUUAAUUUGCAAGGACGUGAGGAAGUGGCUCUUGCUGCAGCAGUGACUGACUGCUCUCUAGAAGACAUACCAAAUCCAAAACUGGUGAGGACCAACAGCAAAAAAGUUAAGGUAACUACAAUUGUUGAGUAUGAAGAUGCCAAGCAUGUUUCUGCAAAGAAAAUAUCUAAAAAAGUAUCCAAAACAAAGUCGUUGGUUUCAUUGGCCUCUGGCUUAAAUAGCAAACUGAACCCUCUUCCUAGGUCUGCUCACUCCUCUCCAAGUGUGAGUGAGGCUGUUAAGGCUCUUGCCUCUGACUGCAGUGCCAUAAAUUACAAAGCCAUGUCAAAGGUAUCUAAAAGUGCUAGACCACAACCUGGUGCCCCAAGAACUAUACCUGCCAGUGGAAGAGUUCAAGGCAUGUUACUAAGAAGUAAAUCGGUACCCCAAGAUAAAACUGUUCCAUUUGUAAACAUUCCUCUGGCUGAUGGACAGGUUUCUCUUCAUGUUUUAGACCCUCUGUACAGCUGCUGGAGAUCUCCAUAACAUUGAUGUGCAACUACUAAAUCAAGAUACAGUACAGCAUAUUCAUAACUUAGUGAGUGAGCUGACUGUACUAUGUGGAAAAGCAACAGUUAAACCAAGUUAAUGGCACUUCCAUAAAGGUCUGUCUCCUGACUACAGAAUAUUCGUAUGACAGCUGCCUCUUCUAUUUAGAGAAUUUCUAUAAUGUCUUAAUAAAGCUGUGUACUGCCCAAUAAAUGUUUUUAUAUAAAACUAUGAUAUGUAUACUAUCAAAAAUACUUCUCCCUUUGAAAGAUACAAAAGCAGAAGUACUUCCAUUUCUUAGACUUCAUAAAUGGUAAGUUAACGUCGUAAGCAGGGCUGCCUUACAUAAUUAUUUGUAACUGUGGAAUUACCUAAUGUCAUUCUUCCAUACAUAUUGUCUGUGUGACCAAAACAGAGAGCACUGGUCUUGUGCAUGCUUGGUCUUCCCUAGGGCCAGCUCCUGCUGAAGUCCACAUAUACAAAUUCUUGAAUAGCAUUUUAACCCAUAGAGCUUUAGUCCUGUAGUGGCAAGUAUGAAUCAGACACGAGACUGAACAAGCAGUAUUAUCUCCACAGUUGUCUUGUAGUGUAACAUUAGAAUAUGCAAUAUGGAUAAGCAUUAACUCUAUUUCCUCUGUUAAGUGGAGUCAUUUGGGAUAGUUUUGUCCUAGCACUGGAGUUUGUUAUAUAUUUCUUGAGUAAUUGGUAGGAAAGACUUUUGCCAUCUUUCCAGGUAC